rnacentral:lncRNA from 1 species
CUCUUAAAACCAAGACAUUGCUGUAAGAACGCUCAGUUUCCUCUAAACUUCUUCCAAAAAACACCGGUUAAUUUAGAAAUUAUUUACUCUUAAUUUUCACUUUUGGGAUCCUGAAUGUUACAAUUCUAAUAUCCUUAAAUCCAACCCUGAUGGUGUAAGAGGAGUUAGAAUAUUGAAAAAAAAAACUAGAGCAGAGUUUUUUUUAUUCAUUAUAUAGUUUUCAGUAUUUAUAAAGCACAGAAUUUUUGACUAAUCAGUUUCUGACCAAAAACUGCCAGAUGCACUGAUAUGCGUGAGCUUUUUUGGUAUAAAAGUUGUGAGAGUCCUUUUUUUUUUUUUUUUUUUUUUAAACCACUUGAGCAGCUUCCAAAGUAUUAUACAGACAAAUUGUAUCAGAUGCAAUUGGGUGUUGUUGAAGAGACAGAUUAAAUACCUCUUUCCAUGGUUAUUGAAUCAGUCUUUAAUGGUGUGAUUCCAUCAGAGCGGAAUGAUUUUAAUCCAGUAGUGAUUAUGUACAGUUUGAGAACUACUGAUCUAGAAAUUACUUUCUUGUUUAGCGUUUUCUUAAAUAUUUUUUUUAUUAUUCAAUGAAUUUAUCACAUCUGUAGUUGUAUAAUGAUUAUCACAAUCCAAUUUCACAGGAUCACUUCUCGGCCUUUUGGCUAAGAUCAAGUGUAGCUUUUUUUUUUUUUUUUUAAUGGAGUCCAUUGAAAGCAUAAUUCACUUCUUUGAAUGUGGAAUAUAGGGACAAACCAGCUGAAGUUGGGAGAGAAUCUGGUGUCAGUAUAUAUGAGGUCCUGAUGAAAAUUAUUUAGAGAUAGUUAAGGAAAACUGGAUUCCUCAAGAAGCUUCCAACUAGCCUAUUAAAUGUUGAGCCUAUAUAAACCAGCAUAGAAUUCACUUUCAGAAUAGAAAAAAUGAAAUGUGUAUAUCUAAAGAGAUUGAAAACAGCAGGUGCUCUUAAGUGUGUUGAAGUUUCUGAGUCUUCCAUCACCUCACUGAAGUGAAAGAAUCAUCACCUCGGAUUCUUAAUCUCUAAAGUUUAGGACAAUUUAUGAUAAAUAUCAGUUAAUAAUGCAAUGAUCAUUAUUUUGAUAAUGUGAUAGAUUAAAAGGAUCACAAUACAGGGAGCUCCCAUCGUGGCUCAAACCCAACUAGGAUCCAUGAGGAUGUGGGUUCCAUCCCUGGCCUCACCUAGUGGGUUCAGGACUGGCGUUGCCAUGAGCUGCGGUGUAGGUCACAGACACAGCUUGGAUCUGGUGUGGCUGUGGCUGUGGCUGUAGUAUAGGCCAGCAGCUGUAGCUCUGAUUCCACCCCUGGCCUGGGACCUUCCAUGUGCCCCGGGGUAAGGUGCUAAAAAACAAAACAAACAAAAAAAGUAUAAUAAUACAGUAAACAUUAUUUGAACUGCUUAAUAUUUAGGGAAAUCUUAACUUUUUUUGUCUGGUUUCUUGCCUUUUUUUUUUCUUUUUUUUUUUUUUUCUUUUUUAGAAAUCUGUGCAUUCUGUAUAUUGAAAUUCUUUUAAGGAUGACAACUUGAUUGUUAGUUAAAACAGUCAUUUCUGUGUUUUGAGGAGGAGAUUUUUAAGGCCCUGCCAGAUGUCUCCAUGUUGGAGCAUGCUCUGGGCAUUGUCUGUGAAAGAAGAAAGCCAACCCUAAGUACAGGUACUCUCAACCCAACUUUUUGCAUAACUUUCUUCUCCAGUACACUUUUGUCUUAGGAGGGCCUGUCUCCAGGAUCUAGAAGACACAGAUGAUGUCAGAUAAAUGAGUUUGCACUUUGCACACUUCUGUGAGGUAUUUGGUAGACAGUUGAUAGGUUUGAUGCUUUUGAAUAUAUAUGUCAAAACUUUCAAAGCUUUAAUGGGUUUCGAGUUACGCUUGCAGUUACACCCAAAAUUGGCCAUUUGCCUUCCUCUCUUAAAUGUUCAAAAGCACCAGGAUGUAGGUGCAAAAUCUCAGCUUGAAAAUGGGUUAAACUGUGUAGCUCAAAAACACUGUCAUCAUGCAAAGUAUUUUACACUCUUUUAGGGAAGAAAAAUAAAAAUGGCAUUAGCUAGUUACAGCAAUACUGUAUCAGUAUCCAUUCUUUGGUUUUCAAUAUCCAUUAAGACACAACUUAUGGUUUUUGGGGAGUUUUUUUGUGUGUGAUUUUUAGGGCCACACUGGCAGCAUAAUGGAGUUUCCAAGGCUAGGGGUCUAAUCAGAGCUACAGCUGCCAGCCUACACCACAGCCACUGCAAUGCCAGAUCUGAGCCAUGUCUGCAACCUACACCAUAGCUCAUGGCAAUGACGGAUCCUUAACCCACUGAGCAAGGCCAGGGAUUGAACCCUCAACCUCAUGGUUCCUAGUCGGAUUCGUUUCCAUUGCGCCAGGACAGGAACUCCCAAGACACAGCUUAUGUUAAUUUCUACUUUAAUUAGGCCAGUUGCCUCAUUUCUCCAAGGGUGGGUCUCCAAUGAUUGAAGAUAGAGCAGAAUUUUGAAAUAAGGCCUGUCUGAUUUGGUUUAACUGAUCCUGAGUGAAGCUUUACAUCUGGAAUCACUGGUUUGGCCAUUCCUGGGAGGAUAAAGCUCUCUGGCAGUUCCCACAGUGACACAAUGGCAACUCUGCAGCUCCAGAAUGUAGGCUCAAUCCCCAACCGGCACAGUAAGUUAAAGGAUCCAGCAUUGCUGCAGCUGCAGCAUAGAUCUCCAUGUGCCACAGGGCAGCCAAAAAAGAGAGAAAGUAAAGAAAAAAGCUGUCUGACUAUAUCCCACACUUAGAUUUUUAUUUAGAUGCCACUCUACCACCUUCCUUGUGCCAUGAGAGACCACUACGAAUAAUGUGAGGCAAAACGUGAAUACCACUAAUGAGAGUGCACCGCUGGUCAAAGAUAAAAUUCUGAUGUUCAUUUAAUUUACAGCCAGAAAAAGGGUGGAGAUGGAGUUCUUGUGGCACGGCGGGUUAAGGAUUCGGCGUUGUCACUGCAGCAGCUCAGGUCGCCACUGUGGCGCAAGUUCCAUCCCUGGCCUGGGAACUUCCACAUGCCUGGAGUGCAGCCAAGAUAAUAAUAAUAAUAAUAAGGAAAGGGAGGAAGAAUAUAUCUAAUAAACUAUAAGGUAUACUCUAGAAAGAGAAUCUAAAACUAGAGCAAAUAACACAAAUUAGCACUUAAACUUUUACCAAAAUGAUUCACAUUUUUUGGAGUUCCCGUUGGGGCUCAGCAGUAACAAACCCAACUAGUAGCCAUGAGGACACAGGUUCAAUCCCUGGCUUCACUCAGUGGGUAAAAGAUCCUGCAUUGCUGUGAGCUGUGGUGUAGGUCUCAGACGUGGCUCAGAUCCUGCGUUGCUAUAACUGUAGUAUAAGCCAGCAGCUACAGCUCUGAUUGGACCCCUAGCCUGGGAACUUCCAUAUGCCAAGGGUUCAUUUUAUUUGGCAACUAACUCUUUUUUCUUUUUCUUUUUUUUUUGUCUUUUUUUGCCUUUUCUAGGGCCACUCCUGUGGCAAUAUGGAGGUUCCCAGGCUAGGGGUCGAAUCAGAGCUGUGGUCUCCGGCCUACGCCAGAGCCACAGCAACGUGGGAUCUGAGCCACAUCUGCAACCUACACCACAACUCAUGGCAACACUGGAUGCCCAACCCACUGAGCAAGGCCAGGGAUCGAACCCGCAACCUCAUGGUUCCUAGUAGGAUUCGUUAACCACUGAGCCACGACGGGAACUCCCAACUAACUCAUUUUUUAAUAAACUAUUAAAGGAGAUUAGAAUGAAGCCUAUUGCUUUGACCUCUGGCUUGGCUAGAUGUGGCACAUAAGGAUUCAGCAUACCUUAAAUCAAUUAAUUUCUCAAAACAGUUCAAUGCACAGAGAAGAAAAAAGAAACUUUUUUUUUUUUGAAUGUCUACUCCUUACCCAUCACGGGGCUAGUUGAUGCAGUGCAAAGGCAAAGGGUCAGUGACUCUAAUGCAGGCAGGACUUUCACAGCAAAAGUACAAGCAAGGUGCUCUAAGAGGCAGAAAAUGGGGAAAGCACUGAUGUGUCUCCAUACUGGGUUUGUAACCUUUGCAAUGGUUACAGCUAUUUAAAUAACCAAAGAGUUUUUAGCUCAGCAAGAUGCAACCGAAUUCCCAUUACUCAUUAAAUAAAACUAUGUUCACCAGGCUUGUAUCUUCAGUGAAAUGUGAAGCUCUUUGCUUAAUAUUUAGAGCUAUAAUUUACUCUGUUGAUUCUUAAUUUUAUGAUGCCUGGUCCACUAAGACUUUUCCUUAAGGAAUAUGUAAAAAAUACACUAUAGGAUAUAAAAAUAAGACAAAAAUUGGAAAGAUCUGUUUAUUCUUGUUUUUCCAGUUUUUGCUUGAAUUUACCCUUUGACAUGAAUCAUAAUUUCUGCUUGCUUCUGCACCUAGAAAAAGGAAUACUUGUAAAGAACAAAUUGGGGAUAAGCAAGCUGAGAAGUGUUCAAGAUAGAAAGGAAGAGGUCAUGCUUUAGAGCAAUUACGCCCUUGUCAAAAAACAAUGCCCUUGACCUGACUUGUCAGGUCCACAUUGGCUGUUGAAGGCCUGGUGACCAUCUCUAUUACCUAAGUUAAUACAGCUUCCAUUUCUGAAAUGAUUUUAUGCUCCACAUAACAUCUGGCUUAUUAACUUGCAUCAAUAGGGCUUACAGUCAAGUCAAGCAGGGUUCUGGUAAAUACCAUAUUGUACCAUCUCUCAUCUCUCUGAGUUCUUAAUAUGUGUAUCUUUCCUAGACCUGGCUUUCCUGCUCCAAAGUAGGCACCAAGUAGCCCCAAUAUCCGCUGCUAGUCAUACCAGAAAUUAUUCCUGAGAUUCCUGUUACGAAGUCAUCUUUAUAAGUUAGAAACUACAUUUAAGAAAUCACAUCCGGAGUUCCUAUCGUGGCGCAGUGGAAACGAAUCCGACUGGGAAUUACGAGGUUUUGGGUUCAAUCCCCAGCCUUGCUCAGUGGGUUAAGGAUCCAGCAUUGCCAUGAGCUGUGGUAUAGGUCGCAGACACAGCUUGAAUCUGGCAUGGCUGUGGCUGUGGCUGUGGCUGUAGCCAGUAGCUGUAGCUCCCAUUAGACCCCUAGCCUGGAAACCUCCAUAUGCCAUGGGCGUGGC